UACCAGCACCCCGAGUUGUCGGGACGAUUAUUGGGCCUAAAGCAUCCGUAGCCUGUUCUGCAAGUCCUCCGUUAAAUCCACCUGCUUAACGGAUGGGCUGCGGGGGAUACCGCAGAGCUAGGAGGCGGGAGAGGCAAACGGUACUCAGUGGGUAGGGGUAAAAUCCAUUGAUCUACUGAAGACCACCAGUGGCGAAGGCGGUUGC
rnacentral:rRNA from 1 species